GAUGAAGAACGUAGCGAAAUGCGAUAAGUAAUGUGAAUUGCAGAAUUCAGUGAAUCAUCGAAUCUUUGAACGCACAUUGCGCCCAUUAGUAUUCUAGUGGGCAUGCCUGUUCGAGCGUCAUUAAGUCCACUUAAGCCCUGCUUAGUGUUGGGAGACUGCUCCAGCGGUGCUACCCUGUAGCUACCCUGCAGCUCCUCAAAGACAGCGGCGGAGUUGUGGUAUCCUCUGAGCUUAGUAACUUGUUCUAGCUUUCGAGUACACCACUUCCCCUGCCGUAAAACCCUUAAUUUUUAAUGGUUGACCUCGGAUCAGGUAGGAAUAGCCGCUGAACUUAAGCAUAUCAAUAAGCGGAGGA
rnacentral:misc_RNA from 1 species